CCGACCGUCACGAAGAUUGGGCGAACAUCAGAGGGGAUCCGGGUUCCUGGGGUCAUCGCCGCCUCCCCCCGACUGCCCUAAACCCCACCGGGACCGGGAGCUCCCGACCCUCACCGCCGGUUCUCCCACCCCUCGCCUUGCUCCUCUGCACGCUGUUUACAGCCGUCAUCUCUGGGGGCACUCUUCCUACUUUUUGUGUCAGUAUUUUGAUGUGGAUUGAUGGCCAGUAAUAUGCAGCCUUCUGGGCCACCUCAGCCUCCCAGGCCUCCCAUGAUGGGUUCUAACGCUCAGCCACAAAAUCUUGGGCCACCAAUGCCUAUGCAGUUUAGGCCAGUGGUUCCUUCGCAACAGCCUCCUCAGUUCAUGCCACCACCAGCGCAGCAGUUUCGGCCUGUUGGUCAGCCUAUGCCGGGAGCUAACAUUGGCAUGCCAGGGCAAAUGCCACAUUUUCCACAACCUGGACAGCAUUUGUCUCAUUCAAGUCAGGUUCCACCUGCAUCACAAGGGGUUCCUAUGGCAUAUCAGCCAGCUAGACCAAUGUCAUCAGCACCUAUGCAGCCGCAGCAACAAGCUGUGUAUCCUGGGGGCCAUAUGCCUACCAUGGGCGCCCCUAUGCAGCCCCCAUCCUAUACUUAUCAACCAACUUCGAUUCCUCCUGUAGUGCAACCCUGGGGACAGAGUGUGCCUCAUGUGACUCCUCUAGUGCAGCCUGGACACCAGCCGGUGCCAGCAACAGCUACUUUGCCUUCAGUCAACUCGUCUGAACCUAGCUCUUCAGAUUGGCAAGAACACACUGCGGCUGAGGGGAAGAAGUACUACUAUAAUAAGAAGACUAGGCAAUCAAGUUGGGAGAAACCUGUCGAAUUGAUGACACCUUUGGAGAGGGCUGACGCCUCAACCGAAUGGAAAGAAUUUACUACUCCAGAAGGACGAAAGUACUAUUUCAACAAAGUAACAAAGCAAUCAAAAUGGACUAUUCCUGAUGAGUUAAAGGCUGCACGUGAAUUGGCAGAGAAGGCAUCAAAUCAACAAUCGGAUCGAGAAACAGGAACAGCUGCAGCUCUUGUUGGAUCUGCUGCCUCUGAACCUUCUACUGUACCUGCUAAUCAGUCUUCAACUGCAGUUGGUUUAAUUGCUCCCAGCACGCAUGAUGCAUCAGCAAACCCUGUUCCUCCUGGUCCUGUCCCAUCACAUAAUGUGGACAACACUUCCAGUUCUUCUACUAUUGGCAUGCAAAAUGGUGGUACAAGUACUGCUGUUGUUCCUGUUCCAACAAGCACAGAAGUUAAAUUAGUUGCAACCGAUGCAGGGACCAGCAGAAACAAUAAUGAAAGUUCAUCUGUAACAACUGGUGCGGACAUAGAAGAUGGUACAUCUGCUGAAGAUUUGGAGGAGGCCAAAAAGACCAUGCCAGUUGCAGGGAAGAUUAAUGUCACUCCACUGGAGGAGAAAACAAGUGAAGAAGAACCUGUAGUCUAUGCCACUAAGACGGAGGCAAAAAAUGCAUUCAAGUCCCUGCUCGAGUCAGUAAAUGUUGAGUCUGAUUGGACAUGGGAGCAGACUAUGAGAGUCAUCAUAAAUGACAAAAGAUAUGGAGCUUUGAAAACUCUUGGAGAGAGAAAGCAAGCUUUCAAUGAGUACUUGAACCAGCGAAAAAAGUUUGAAGCUGAAGAAAAACGUAUCAAACAGAGGAAAGCACGUGAUGAUUUCCUUGCAAUGCUGGAAGAGUGCAAGGAGCUUACGUCAUCAACAAGAUGGAGCAAAGCAAUUCUUAUGUUUGACGAUGAUGAAAGGUUCAAAGCUGUUGAACGUCCAAGGGAGCGUGAAGAUUUAUUUGAGGGCUAUCUUGUGGAACUACAUAAGAAGGAAAAAGCCAAGGCUAUCGAAGAACACAGAAGGCAUGUAGCAGAAUACAAAGCUUUUCUAGAAUCAUGCGACUUCAUCAAGGCAACUACUCAGUGGAGAAAAGUUCAAGAACGGCUGGAAGAUGAUGAACGCUGUUCUCGACUUGAAAAGAUCGAUCGCUUGAAUGUUUUUCAAGACUACAUACGGUAUCUGGAGAAAGAGGAGGAAGAGCAGAAGCGAAUACAAAAGGAACACGUAAGAAGGCAAGAGAGAAAAAACCGUGAUGGAUUUCGUAAAAUGCUGGAAGAACAUGUCAAUGAUGGCACACUUACUGCAAAAACUCGGUGGCGUGAUUACUGCUCACAGAUAAAGGAGUCACAGGCUUACCUGGCAGUGGCGUCAAACACGUCUGGCUCCACGCCAAAAGAGCUAUUUGAUGAUGUGAUCGAGGAACUUGAUAAACAGUAUCUAGAUGACAAGACCUGCAUCAAAGAAGUGGUGAAGUCUGGAAAGAUUCCAAUGACAACCUCAUGGACAUUGGAGGAAUUUCAAACUGCAAUUCUGGAGGAUGAUGCUCUUAAAGGAAUAUCAACCAUCAACAUCAAGCUUAUUUAUGAUGAUCAGAUUGAAAGGCUCAGGGAAAAAGAGCAAAAGGAUGCUAAGAAGCGCCAGCGAUUGGGUGAAAAUUUUUCAGAUCUUCUGUACUCAAUCACGGAAAUAUCAGCUGCUUCAACGUGGGAUGAUUCUAAACAGCUAUUUGAGGACAGCCAAGAGUUCAGGGCCUUGGACAGUGAGACUUACGCUAGAGAGCUUUUUGAAGAGUGUGUUGUCCACCUGAAGGAAAGGUUAAAAGAGAAAGAACGUUUGAGGGAGGAAGAAAAGGCAAAAAGAGAGAAAGACCGUGAAGAGAAAGAGAAGAAGAAAGAGAAAGAAAGGAAGGAGAAAGAGCGCAAAGAAAAAGACCGGGAGAAGGAGAGAGAGAAGGAAAAAGGGAAGGAUCGAUCAAGGAGAGAUGAAACUGAUAUUGAUGGUGCUGAUGUGGAGAACCAUGGUUCAAAAGAUAAGAAAAGAGAUAAACAAAAGAAACAUAAGAGACGCCACCAUGACACAGAUGAUGCUAGUUCUGAAAGGGAUGAUAAAGAUGAUGCUAAGAAAUCUCGGAGGCAUACCAGUGAUCGCAAGAAAUCUAGGAAGCAUACACAUGCUUCAGACUCGGAUAGUGAAAACCGGCACAAACGACAUAGAAAGGACCGAGAUAGUUCCCGAAGAAAUGGUGCACAUGAGCUGGAAGAUGGUGAACUUGGAGAAGACGGCGAGGUCCAUUAGUCUCCUUUUGCUGCCAAGAUUCCCCUGGAUAUUGCUCUGCUGCCUCUGACACAGCUGCUGGGGGGGCAUGGACGUGGCAAUUGCAAUAGCCCAAGCAUGGCACACCUUCUGUCUGUGCUGAGGUAACAGGUUGAAGUUACUCAGUUUUCAACAAGUCUGGUACAUGUAAAUCUGAUGCAUUCGGACGAGGCUGUUAUCUUGUCACGAAAAUGUUGGGCGUUCGAUUUUGUCACAAAUGUCAGGAUAGUUGAUGUAGGAAGAGUUAGUGUGUUCCUUGUACUGGGGUUUUGUUUCUGUUGGAAAUAUUUCAGGAUUGUUAAUUUUGGGAUAGUCA